UCUUUGAACCCACUUCUUUCCAGUCAGUUGAAAGUACCGUCCCGCUUGACUCCACCUAUACAAGUGCAUCCCCGAAGUGGAAUAUAUAAUAUCAUCCAUUAGAACCAAUAAUCCAAAUUAUUUCCUUAUUGCUAAUGAAAUUACUAUCUUUCAGCUAUUGCUAACUUCUACAAAAUCAAAACUGCUCAAAAGAAGAGAAGGACGCCAGAGGAUAGAAAACCUCCCCUUCCAUGGGAUGGGAUAGGAUAAUUCAGUCUGUUGACUGAAUAAACCAAGUGGAGGAAAGAAAAUAAGUAAAAAGCGGCUGGCACACAAUAAAAAGCAACUGAAAGAACAAAUAAAAAUAGGCCCACCCUACUGUCAAAAUCAUAUCGUGCAAAUGCAAACAAGCUGUUUGGAAUCUUACAAAAGAUUUGGUCAUAGCCCUUCUCAUGUCGUCAUCUGCAUUUUGGUAAAUGUCCCUGAAUAACUUGUUCAAAGCUGCAUCACCAUCUAGCUUCUCAUCUCUUUCCUGAAAUCCAGACCAUCAUAGCAUCAACAGAAUAUAUAAAAAAAAAAAGACCUCUCAAGUAGUCAAAGAAACCAAUAUAAAACAACUAUUGUUAGAUGAACCACCUCGCUCUUCACUUGGGCUUCCAACUUAUCCCAAUCUUUUGCUCUUGAUUUUGAAGAUGGAUAUGAAGGCCUUCGAGAUCCAACUGUAUGUUCAUAAAUGUGAAGCAAACUGAUUAGCCAUAAAGCAUUAAGCAUUCUGUUGUCUACACAACAUAAAUUUUUGUUGUUGAUGAGCUUCUCACUAAAAAAAUAAGAAUUCAUAUGGUCAACUUCAAUUAUAUUGGAAUUCAGACUGUUUCUGCUUUGGGGAAACCAUUUCCAAUGGAUGCAACUAAAUUGAUGAACCAUGCUGAAUCAAGAACGCCAGCCAGUAUGAGCAUUUGGCCUACCUGAUGACACAUUUAUUUUCUGCGGGACUAUAAUUCCCUUGCAGUAUUCAAGAGAUGUCCAGUUAAUAACUUCAGCUUUUGCAAGAUGGAUUUCAAUCUUGGUUGACAAUACUUGAUAUUUGCUCCUAUCAGGUAAUAUAUAUGAGAAGCUACUAACAUACUUUUCCAAACAAUUGAGGUUGAAAAUGAUAUGUAUCUUCACCAGGGACAUUGAUGGUAACACUGAGAAUUUGUUCACCAAAAUCAACUGUGACAUUUUCUGCUGGAAUGCCCUUUGCAAAAAUUGUUAAAACCACUUCCUCUGGCUUCUGGUAGUAUUCAUGUCUGUAUUUUGGUUUUUCUGAAGAGAUUGUUUCAUUCUUACAGGAACCAACAGAUGCAGGUGUAGCACUCAGUGGAACAUUUGGUGCCAAGGACUUCCUUUGAUCAUAAAACUCCUCUGCUAUGUGCAGAUCACAUUCUUUGAUCAACUUGGUAAAUCUGGAAUCAUCUGGAGCCAAAGAUGCACCGAUUUCAAGGGCUCUCUUGGCUGUAUGAUAUUCUUCAAGCUUCAUACAGGCAGUACCUUUACGCAAAUAUGCCUUGGCAAUCGAAGAAGCCAACUCAAUAGCCUUGUUAGCAUCAGCAACGGCCUCAGUGAAGUUAUUGAGUUUAAUAUAGGCCUGAGCUCGGUCGGCGAAGUAAUCAGCGUUGGUGGGGUCCAAUUCGAUGGCUUUGGAAUAUAAAUCCAAGGCCAGUUCGAAAUCAUCAUCGAUGAUUGCUUCUUUUGCCUUCUCAGCCAACUCGCUGGCCAUUGUUGAAGCUUGGGCUAAGAGAAUAGAGUGUAGUGAGGAUUGAGAGUGAUUUGAGACUAUCCAACAAGAAAAGGGAGAGAAAGCUAUGUAGGGAAAAAUUGGAUAUUGCUCGACUUCUAGAGACUUCAGUGGAACGGCUGUAGCCUGUAGACGAUGAGGUCUAUGAUUUCGG
rnacentral:misc_RNA from 1 species